UAAGGAAUAUUGGUCAAUGGAAGCAAGUCUGAACCAGCCAUGCCGCGUGAAGGAUGAAGGUCCUCUGGAUUGUAAACUUCUUUUAUCUGGGACGAAAACGGGAUUUUUAUCUCAAUUGACGGUACCAGAGGAAUAAGCACCGGCUAACUCCGUGCCAGCAGCCGCGGUAAUACGGAGGGUGCGAGCGUUAUCCGGAUUUACUGGGUUUAAAGGGUGCGUAGGUGGGCUUAUAAGUCAGUGGUGAAAUCUCCGAGCUUAACUUGGAAACUGCCGUUGAUACUAUAGGUCUUGAAUUAUCUGGAGGUAAGCGGAAUAUGUCAUGUAGCGGUGAAAUGCUUAGAUAUGACAUAGAACACCAAUUGCGAAGGCAGCUUACUACAUAUAAAUUGACGCUGAGGCACGAAAGCGUGGGGAUCAAAC
rnacentral:rRNA from 1 species